UUCCUCCUGUGUUUAUAAUUGAAACAUUACCAUAUUUACCUACAUUAUGCCAGCACACAACAAGUAAAUCCAAAUUCAUUGAUCCGGUGGACUAUAUUGAAUGAACCAUUAAAUCUAUAUCUAUAACAUUAUAAGAUCGGUAAUUCAUACUAGAUCUAGACCAAAUGAAUUAUCUUUUCGAUUACUCUUAUCUUAUGCAGCAUGCGAAGAUAUUCCACCGUUGAUGGUUCAAUUGAGCCCGUGCCAAAGCAUAGUAAAGAGAAAUGCUGUGUGCACC
rnacentral:lncRNA from 1 species